rnacentral:rRNA from 1 species
UACGAAGGGGGCUAGCGUUGUUCGGAAUUACUGGGCGUAAAGCGCACGUAGGCGGAUUGUUAAGUCGGGGGUGAAAUCCUGGAGCUCAACUCCAGAACUGCCUUCGAUACUGAGAGUCUCGAGUCCGGGAGAGGUGAGUGGAACUGCGAGUGUAGAGGUGAAAUUCGUAGAUAUUCGCAAGAACACCAGUGGCGAAGGCGGCUCACUGGCCCGGUACUGACGCUGAGGUGCGAAAGCGUGGGGAGCAAACAGG